UUGAGUGUUCUUUAUAUUUUUGAAAACCUAGUUACAAUAUCUUUUACUUUAUGUAUCCCAAUUGAGACUUUUGAACAUUUCAUUUCUGAUGCUAUUUUUUUUAUUGAUUUAUUAAUUCAAAAUAGAUUUCAAUACUUGACUUUUGUCAUUACGUUGACCUGAAAUAUCGGGUUGUCACACAAUCUUUUAUAUUAUCUCUUGAUUGAAUAUUGGAUCAAAAUGCAGUAUAUCACGUGCAUGCUCUUUGUUCAGUUUUGUAACUCCAAUCAUUUUCUAAGACAUCAGUGAUUGAUACCCUCGCCUAUAUAAGGCUGCAAAUGGUAUGACCUUGACAAUGGCAUGAUAACUUUCGUUGAAGGAAAAACCCAAUUAACGAAAAUGAGUAUCCCCUAUAAUAUCCAAAGUCUAUCAUACAGGUUCAGAGCAUAUUAUCGUCCUGACCAUUAGGGAUGAAUAUAUAUGUUUAUGCCUAAGCGUGCGCCCAAGGAUUUUGAUGAUUGUCAAAAUUGUUAGAUCAAUCUACUAUCUUAGUUGGAGAUGAUAACGAUCGGCAUCUCGUGUAGUCUGACGAUUUCUUUGUCCUGUUGUAUUCAGUUUUUCCAUUUCACAUUGUUUUUAGAUUAGUGGAAAGCGGGCAGGCUUGGUCAAUCAGUGGACCACUACCUGAAUAAAAUCACAACCACUAUGUUUCUUUGGGUAUCUUUUGUAUAAAGUCCACCGACGCUGGUUCCCACUUUUACUUAGGUAUUUCUUUAUCAUUACGUUAGUCCUGAGUGUUUCUGACACUCUGCAUUUGGUAUAAGUUUGUUAUUUGUCCACUCAAUUGGUAAUCUCUACUUUCAUGCAUGUUCAUAAAGUAUCACGUCCGGUCAUCCUUGAACUUGACUUGUUUAUCCGGUCUUCAUAGAGCUUCACUCGUGAAGUUUUUCAUUCUUAGAGUCUCGAGUUAAACUUCUCGGAUUUGAGCUGUAGGUUGUAAAUGGAUAUUUAUAGUUAAUAUUCUUGAAUAUCUUCAAGAUCAAUGGUGUUCCCAUUGUCCUCUUUGCAUAUGAGCUCUCUCUCUCUCUCUCUCUCUCUCUCUCUGUGUGUGUGUGUGUGUGUGUGUCCCUCUCUCUCUCUCAAAAGACUCCCUUCAUGCUACAAAGACCACGUUCUGUCAGUCCUUCAGCCGUGGUGUGCAACGUAAAUCAGUGAUCAUAGUUAUUGAACAUACAUUGAAUAGUACAAAUAUAAUCUUCUAUUAUUACCGAAAUAUAAAUUACAUUAACAAUGACUAUUGUUAAAUCGUGACACACGUCUAAUAAUCCGACGUAUACAAUUGUAUAGUAUAAUUAAUAGAGAGUCUUCUGAGCGAACAUUUCCGACCUGCUAAAUAACCUGAGAAUACAUGUAUUUAAAAUACGUCAAGAAAAUUGUUGGUGAGUUCUACAGGUUUUGACACGAAGUAUUUUUAUAACCAAAAGUGUUUUGUAAAACAUCUCUAGUUGAUCUACUUUUGUAAAUGCGUAUUUUUUUUAUCAAAAGUAAAAAUAUAAAAGGGUUUUAAAAGUGUAUUUAGACUCAUUAAAAAAAUAUAUCGUUUGCUCAAAUCCAAAUAUAACCAUUUGUCGAAUAUAUAUGUGAAUGAAAUUUAUAACAAAUCUGUACGGUUCUCAUGACCAAAAAAAAUCUUUUUAUAUAAAGAUUUGGAAUAACAGUUUAUAUAAAAGAAAGUCAUAUCACUCUUUGUGAAUACAUAAAAGAUCCAAAUUUACUCUUGAAACCUUGUACAAGCAUUCGCAUAGUUUAUAUGUAAAACUCAUUCGUUUUGAAUUUAUAAACUUUGCGAAUUCGUGUCGUGGUAUUACUUAAGUAUCAUCUUAUUUAAUUUGGGAACCGACACUUAACCAAAUGGGCAAACUCCUCCCACAUACAUAACGUGUUUUCGUACAAGAACAAGGGUUCAAAUAAAUAACUUAUUAGUUGUAAGUUAUGAAUCUUUAAUCAGUCGUCUCAUGAUAUUAAUUAAAUGUUAUCAACUUAAUUUAUGGUAUUGACACUUAUCGUAUUGAGUCACAAGCUAUCCCACUACAUAUAAUCUCUUUAAACUAGAAUAAGAGGAAAAAAUCUCUGUAUACUAUCCUAUUUCCAUCCUAUAUGGUAACAGUAGUACAUCUUGGGUCUUAAAUGAGGUCAUAACUAAACUGUGACGAACACCUCUGCAACAACACUGGAAAGUUGUGUUGAAAGCCCAUACCACAUAUUUGAUGACAUGAUAAAAAAAUUAGUGGAGGCAACGCGAACGCCCAAAUUCGACUCGUCGGCCGAUGGUUGUAGCUAGCACCCGGUGGCAGGAUGUCAACCUAUUUAAGUAUGUGAUCCUGAACUUAUACUCGACAUUCCUCGUUCCAUACAAAUUAACGCUUAUGACAUAGAGGACUUUCCUGAAAGAUGUACAGUCUAAGAAUUGUUACAAACGUAGCCCACGCACUUCAGGAAAUGAUCCUAACUCAUAAAGAUUUCAGAAACGAACGUAAUUCCCAUAGAAUACCCCGUGGGUAGGUUGAAUUCUAACAACAUGUCUAGGCAUCCUAAUCAAAAACUUCCCGUUAUAAGGUUUUUGAAUACUUAUAAUUUUGUUGUAUAGGAGUAAUAUUUGAUCGAAGUUUUUAGUUUUUGAGGUUCGUCAGACUUAACAUCUUAACAAAUUUUAAUGUUCAACGUGACGAAAUUUGGACAUCAUAACGGAUGUUUUGAUAAUAUUUUCCAGAUUUCAACCAAUGUGAAACCAACAAUUACCAUAAUAUUAUAAUUUACGUGAUUAAAACAAUAUAAUAUGUCACAAAUAACGACUCUUAAGUUCUGAAGUUGAUAAUGUUAUUUAUCGCAAUAAAAUCCAUAACUUAGUAGAAUGAGUUAUAUAUUUUUGUUUAAUAUAAAAAUAUAUUAAUAAAUUUUACAUUCAUUUUCAAUAAUUUAAACUAUUAACUAUAUAUUUACAUAGUCUUGAUCUUUCCAUCAAAUGUGACAGUGUAAUUUUCCUUCUACGCGAUAAAUAUGUGGAAUAAUAUUUUUGAUUACAUAAUAUCAUAAUGUACAUAUUAAUAAUCACGACAAACCAAAAACAUAUUAACUUUUAGCAAUAUACUUUAAUUUGUAUAGUUUAUUAAUGAUUUAUAGCACUUUAGAUUGCUAUUUAAUAAGUUUUUGACGUAUAAUAAAGGAUGAUGCUAUUUUGUGUAUAAAACAUGAAAAUCAUCAAAACUUUAGUAGACACACAUAUAUUCUCCCCCAAAUAUUAAAACAGUAAAAGAGGGGCCCUAGAAACUCACUUUCGUAGCGUGAACGAGGCUCUAGGUGUGAAACUUGUCGUGAAAGUUGUUACGUGAUGUUCCUUUCUCUUAAAACGAACCGCCAAGUAUAUUUAUAUUUCCUAAUAAAGCAAAGGGUGGUUUUAGUAUUAAUUGUUAAGUAUGUAGCGGUCUUUGUUAAAAUAAAUAGACUCUAGGGUUUGAUUUUGCCAAAAUCAUACUUCAGGGACUGAUAUUGCUAAUUAUUCUCAAGACAGGGGUUAAACAUAUGGUUUUGAAUCUGAUUUGGAGCACCAGGACUUAUUUUGUUAGGGCUUUCUGGUGGAGGGGCAAUUCUGUUUAAUUUAAAUGUAGGUUUGAGUUACCCUUGACUUUUGACUGGGUCAAAAUCGAAACCCGAUUUCUGAUUGAAGUCUCUAUACAGUCGAUCAAAAAGGCUCCAACAGGCGUCGUGUUCAAACGGACGAUGGACAAGGAACGGGAACGAAAGAAAUGGACGAAUACAGUGAGAGGGGAAAACACGAAGGCUCGCAGGCACGACUUCGUUGCUCGACCGCGAGAAGGUUCAUCUCCGGGGUUCGACUAGACUGAAGAACGAAGGGAGAAGCAGCGGAUGCGCUCUCCUCGGUCGUCUGCUAGGUGCGAAGGAGACGAAUGGAUUGGCGACGUGUGCGAUUGUCUCAGGGGUUUGACAAAGCCGAAGUGACGGAGAAGCAGCGAAGCUGCUGCGGUCUCGGUGGGGGCAGCGAUGGGGCGAUCGGCGGUUGAGAAACGAGGUCGAUUGAAGGCAGUGGCAAGUUGGAUCGGUGAAUAGUGGUGGGGAGGUACAACUGAUCUCCAGGGAGUCCUCGUGAUUUCCAUUCUCGUCUUCAGCAGUAGAACACAAAGAAGGAGCAGGGCAUUUAGGUGAUGAUUCUUCAACAGGAAAUGAACGGGAUCAACAGGUAUGACUUUUUGUUUUGUUUUGACAGAAAUCAAUAGAUAUAAUCAGUGGUUUUAGGUGGGUGUUUGUUUGAUGUUUAACAAAAUUCAAAGGAGGAACAAGAUGGAUGUUUGGGUUUGCUUUUUCACAGGAUUCGAUAGGGUUGUUGCUGUUUAACAAGGGAAAUAGGAAAACAGAUGAGGGAAAGGGGUGUUUUUGGCUGAUGAGGUUCAACAGGAAAAGGGGAAGGAUGGGACUGUCUUGGCCGGCGACAGUCACCGGUCUUCUUCCUUAUGUGGACGACGAUCAAGAGGAACGACAAGGAGGGCUCAAGGUUGAGGGAGACGUAUACUCAUGGUGUACCAAAUUAUUGAAAAUGAUAUAAAAUCUGAUUUUUCCCAAGAUUUAGUAGAUUGUACUUGAUUUUAGGUGGUACAAAAUCAGAUUCAUAAAAUAUCUGUUGUAAACUCAAAUGCAUUGUAUUUUUAUUUAUUUAUUUUGUGACGAAAUCUCUAAUUCUCGAUUUGCGUGCCAUUAAAUCGUUUCGUGAAAUUUUUCUUAAAAUGUCUGUCGAUUGUCUUGGUCAUUGUGAUUCUAAAAAUGCAGACAUAUUUCAAUUCCGAUAUACUAGACACCGUCAAUUAAUUUUAAAGUUUCGCAAUUAAUAGGAUCAGAUUCGACCGGUUUUACGAAUCUUAUUUUGGUCGAAGCUGAAAAUAUUAUAAAAAUGUAAAAAAUCAAUAAACCGUAGUCUGAAUUCAAAAACGUGUUCAAAAACAGUUUACAAGACUUGUAGCUAUCCCAAACGAAAUAGUGUGCGGUUUGUUUCGGAAAAAUCAGAUAAAUAUUGAUUUUUAUAAUUUUAAAGAGGCGUAACUUUCUUAUACUACCUCCUCUUUGGGCGUUCUUUAAAUCCACAAAUUCAAGAGAACAUAAUCUAUUCAUAUUUAUUAUCCGUAACUCUCAAAUAUACUUAAUGCAAAAUUUUAUUUUUAACGCCACAAAUAGAUUUACUUUUUGUUGAUUUUUGAUUCAGUCUUCAAUGAUAGGCGAUUUAAGCAGUUUUGGAUGUUCUAAAAGAAAUUAUAAAUAUAAUAUAUUUAAUAUAGGUUAUAAACAUAAAUUUAAACACAAUUGGUCAUUAAUACCUAAUGGUUCGCGGUGGUUUGACUGCCAAACUGUUACCGAUUUUUACCAAUUUUACAUUAUCCCCCCAUUGAAUGAAAUUUUGUCCCGAAAUUCAACUUGUAGAAAAAAUAUUAUAGAACAGUUGGUGGCAUUUUAAUUGCGUUUGAUCCGUACAUGAUCUUUCUAAAGUUGAUUUAAGUUGCGUAGCUCUAGGUUAGAUAAUUGGUCUAAUACAUGACUUUACCACAAGUCACAACUAAAAUAGAGAAUAUGGAACAAGAUCGAAUCAAAUAUUAUAUACGUUCGAGUUUAUAUAUAAUUUAAUAGUGUGCACUUUCACAAACAUGAAACAUUAGUGCGGUUUCCUAGUACACUUCGUUGAAAGGUAUCAUAGUUGAUCAUCGGAUUGACACUCCUUGAGAUGUGGCGUAUGAAAAAGCUUCUUGCAUAUCAUUUGGUUCUCAAGAUAACAUGAUAUAAAUAUGAGGACCAAAUUCUAUCUAAGAAUCUCGAAGGUCCUUUGGUUGUGGUUUAACUUGACUCGUUCUCUAAACCGAAUCAUUCAUCUAAAACAGAAGGUGUUUAAAUCUACAUAGUCUUUGACUUGUAAGUCGAGAGGCUGACAUAUUUUGUUCACAUAACUCUCUUGUCGUUCGUGUGCAAUCUGAAAUCUUUAUCCGAUUCACACAAUCUUUUAUAUAAUCUCUUGACUGAAUCUUGGAUCAAAAUGCAGUAUAUCACGUGCAUGUUGUUUGUUUAGUUUCGUAACUCCAAUCAUUGUCUAAGACAUCAAUUAUUGAUACCCUCACCUAUAUAAGGCUGCAAAUGGUAUGACCUUGACGAUGGCGUAAUAACUAUCGUUGAAGGAAAAACCCAAUAAACGAAAAUGAGUAUCGCAUGUAAUAUCCAAAGUCUGUCAUACAGGUUCAGAGCAUAUUAUCGUCCUGACGAUUUCUUUGUCUUGUUCUAGUCAGUUUUUCCAUUUCACAUGGUUCAUAGAUUAGUGGAAAGUAGGCAGACAUAUUUCAAUUCCGACAUACUAGACUCCGUCAAUUAAUUUUUAAAGUUUCGCGAUUAAUAGGAUCGGAUUCGACCGGUUUUACGAAUCUAAUUUUGAUCGAAGUUGAAAAUAUUUUAAAAAUAUAACAAAGUAAUAAAACCGUAGUCUGAAUUCAAAAACGUGUUCAAAAACAUUUUACGAGACUCGUAGCUAUCCCAAACGAAAUAGUGCGCGGUUUGUUUCGGAAAAAUCAGAUAAAUACUUAUUUUUGUAAUUUUAAAGAGGGUAACUUUCUUAUACGACCUCCAUUUUGGGCGUUUUUUAAAUCCACAAAUUCAGGAGAACAUAAUCUAUUCAAAUUUAUUAUCCAUAACUGUCAAAUAUACUUAAUGCAAAAAUUUUAUUUUUAACACCACAAAUAGAUUUACUUUUUAUUGAUUUUUGAUUCAGUCUUCUACGAUAGGCGGUUUAAGCAGUUUGGGAUGUUCUAAAAUAAAUUAUAAAUAUAAUAUAUUUAAUAUACGUUAUAAACAUAAAUUUAAACACAAUUGGUCAUUGAUACCUAACGGUUCGCGGUGGUUUGACCGUCGAACUCUAACCUAUUUUUACCAAUUUUACAUUAUCCACCCGUUGAAUGGAAUUUUGUCCCGAAAUUCAACUUGUAGAUAAAAUAUUAUAGAAUAGUUGGUGGCAUUUUAAUUUCAUUUGAUCCAUACAUGAUCUUUCUAAAGUCGAUUUAAGCCGCGUAGCUCUAGGUUAGAUAACUGGUUUUAUACAUGGCUUUACCUCAUGUCACAACUAAAAUAGAGAAUAUGGAACAAGAUUGAAUCAAAUAUUAUAUAGGUUGUCGAGUUUAUAUAUAAUUUAAAGGUGUGCACUUUCACAAACAUGAAACAUUAGUGCGGUUUCCUAGUACACUUCGUUGAAAGGUAUCACAGUUUAUCAUCGGAUCGACACUCCUUGAGAUGUGGCAUAUGAAAAAGCGUCUUGCGUAUCGUUUGGUUCUCAGGAUAACAUGAUAUAAAUAUAAGGAUCGGUAUCUCGUGCAGUCUGAUGAUUUCUUUGUCCUGUUAUGGUCAUUUUUCCAUUUCACAUGGUUCGUAGAUUAGUGGAAGGUGGGCAUACUUGGUCAAUUUAUGGACCAAUGCCUUAAUAAAAUCACGACCACUAUGUUUCUUUGGGUAUCUUUGGUAUAAAGUCCACUGACACUGGUUCCCACUUUUACUUAGGUAUUUCUUU
rnacentral:lncRNA from 1 species